rnacentral:lncRNA from 1 species
AAGACUAGGAAGACGAGUUGCAAGUGGCCAUGGAGUGAAAGAGGACAGAUCGUGGUUUAGAGCUGAGCUCAGUGGCGCUUUUGAUGCUGAGACCUCAGAAAUGUAAGCUCAACAAAACCUGCCAGUGAGUGUUGCUUUUCCUCGUCACAUAUCACAAUGGAGGUGGAGCCCAUCAAAAGUGAAGUCACCAAGAAUGCUGAUUAGAGAGGCAGGAGUGAUGGCUCAGUGGUAAAGAGGACUUACUGCUCUUCCAGGGGAUCUGCGCCAGGACCUGCUGCUCUCUUCUGGCUUCCAUGGGUAUCCACAGGCACUUAUGGACGUCCUCACAUGCUCGCUGUC